AGAGAAAUGAAUGAAGAGGGUGAAGAAGCCCCCUCCACACCACCAUCUAUUUCCUCUGUUGCUAACAGUUAAAAAGCGAAAAACAACAACAACAACAACAACAACAACAACAACAACAACAACAACAAAAACUUAGAAAACAUCAAUCACGUUAUCUGUUGCUUUUGGGGCAGAAGUAUAAGAAAAAUGCUCUGACACUGUGUCUUGUAUUAGAAUGGAUAAUGGAAAGACAGAAACCCUGUCCGGAACAACAGCUAGAGGCUGGACAAAUGGAAUGGAUCAGAUCAAUCUCCUGUAUUCUCAGAAGAAAAAGAAAAUAACAGAAGUGAUAUGAAGUGGCCAAGGCCAAGAAACGCCCCCCAAAGUUUACACCAUGAAACAGCCUUACGUGACUACACCAUCUCUACCCCAUCCCACAGAGUUUUACCAAGAUGACAGCAUAUCACAUGGAAUCACUUAGAAAUGUAAGAGCUGGGAAGGACUGUUCAAGAAACUGGAGUUUUUCAAGAUCACAUAGCUCAUUGGAGAAAACUAAAACAAAAACUCAAUUUAUAAGCUUUCCCUUGCCCAAGGCCAUUGCUCUCUAGUGGCAGGGAGUGUGGAAGACAUGGAUGACAUUCACCCAACAGACCUUCUUUGUCUACGCAUCUCCAGAUGAGCUCGGUAUUGUGCUCAGAGAAAGUGUGCAACUGCCCCGCCUCCCAGAAGAUAAUUCAUCUGAAGCUUAGAGUCUAAGCCAGUGCUACCAGUCUGAUUUUGGUGGCCAGUGACUGGUUUAGGAGCAGACUCUGACUCAGAACUCUGGCCAAUGGAGAAAGGGACAUCUGCUUGGGAGAAGGCCUUCUGGGAGAUAUUUUCCUACUUAUUAUGAUUAAAAGUCCACUCCUCA